GUUACGCCUGUGAGCAAGGAUUCGGAGUGAGAGCAGUGUGUGGGCUUCAGGCUCAGGAUGAAAACCGUGUUCAAGAUGAAGAUAUGGAGGCUGGAGGCCCUGCUGGCCUUUUGGGGCCUGAGCAUUUGUGGCCUCUAUGUCCUUGGGGUGCCAUGCACCCCUUACUUUCUGGUGCUACCUGUUCUGACCAGCCUUAUAGCCAGGAUACGCAACACCAAGGCCAAGGACACCUCUGGGAAGAAGAUGAGCUUGAAAGGCAGGAGGAAGGAGCGGAGAGUUUCUUCACGAUCCUGGCAUGAUGUGGAGGUGUCUGCAAACAAUCUUCUAGCAGGGUAAGCAGAGCCCUCUCCUGCGGGGAGCAUCCCCCUCUGGGAGCUCCUGGGUGGGGAGCCCCACACCUAUG
rnacentral:lncRNA from 1 species